UACGAAGGGUGCUAGCGUUGCUCGGAAUCACUGGGCGUAAAGCGCACGUAGGCGGAUUGGUAAGUCAGGGGUGAAAUCCUGGAGCUCAACUCCAGAACUGCCUUUGAUACUGGCGAUCUCGAGUCCGGGAGAGGUGAGUGGAACUGCGAGUGUAGAGGUGAAAUUCGUAGAUAUUCGCAAGAACACCAGUGGCGAAGGCGGCUCACUGGUCCGGUUCUGACGCUGAGGUGCGAAAGCGUGGGGAGCAAACAGG
rnacentral:rRNA from 1 species